CAUGCCUUACACAUGCGAAGUCGAACGGCAGCACGGGAGCAAUCCUGGGUGGCGAGGUGGACGGAACGGGUGAGUAAUAUAUCGGAACGUGCCCAGUCGGUGGGGGAUAACGUAGCGAAAGCUACGCUAAUACCGCAUACGAUCUAUGGAUGAAAGCGGGGGAUCGCAAGACCUCGCGCGAUUGGAGCGGCCGAUAUCAGAUUAGGUAGUUGGUGAGGUAAAGGCUCACCAAGCCGACGAUCUGUAGCUGGUCUGAGAGGACGACCAGCCACACUGGGACUGAGACACGGCCCAGACUCCUACGGGAGGCAGCAGUGGGGAAUUUUGGACAAUGGGCGCAAGCCUGAUCCAGCAAUGCCGCGUGCAGGAUGAAGGCCUUCGGGUUGUAAACUGCUUUUGUACGGAACGAAACGGUGAGCUCUAAUACAGUUUGCUAAUGACGGUACCGUAAGAAUAAGCACCGGCUAACUACGUG
rnacentral:rRNA from 1 species